AGUGAACGCUGGCGGUAGGCCUAACACAUGCAAGUCGAACGGCAGCACAGUAAGAGCUUGCUCUUACGGGUGGCGAGUGGCGGACGGGUGAGGAAUACAUCGGAAUCUACUUUUUCGUGGGGGAUAACGUAGGGAAACUUACGCUAAUACCGCAUACGACCUACGGGUGAAAGCAGGGGAUCUUCGGACCUUGCGCGAUUGAAUGAGCCGAUGUCGGAUUAGCUAGUUGGCGGGGUAAAGGCCCACCAAGGCGACGAUCCGUAGCUGGUCUGAGAGGAUGAUCAGCCACACUGGAACUGAGACACGGUCCAGACUCCUACGGGAGGCAGCAGUGGGGAAUAUUGGACAAUGGGCGCAAGCCUGAUCCAGCGAUACCGCGUGGGUGAAGAAAGCCUUCGGGUUGUAAAGCCCUUUUGUUGGGAAAAAAAAGCAGCAGGUUAAUACGCCGCUGUUCUGACGGUACCCGAAGAAUAAGCACCGGCUAACUACGUG
rnacentral:rRNA from 1 species